rnacentral:rRNA from 1 species
UACGGAGGAUGCAAGCGUUAUCCGGAAUGAUUGGGCGUAAAGCGUCCGCAGGUGGCUAUGUAAGUCUGCUGUUAAAGAGUGAGGCUCAACCUCAUAAGAGCAGUGGAAACUACAUAGCUAGAGUGCGUUCGGGGCAGAGGGAAUUCCUGGUGUAGCGGUGAAAUGCGUAGAUAUCAGGAAGAACACCAGUGGCGAAGGCGGCAUCCUGGACCAACACUGACGCUGAGUGAGCGAAAGCCAGGGGAGCAAACGGG